rnacentral:sRNA from 1 species
UGCCAACCGGGUGUCUGCACUAAGUUCGGCAUCAAUAUGGUGAUCUCCUGGGAGCAGGGGCCACCAGGUUGCCUAAGGAUGAGUGAACUGGCCCAGAUCAGAAAGGGAGAAGGUCAGAACUUCUGCACUGACCAGUAGUGGGACUGUGCCUGGGCA